rnacentral:rRNA from 1 species
CGCACGGGUGAGUAACACGUAUCCAACCUGCCGUCUACUCUUGGACAGCCUUCUGAAAGGAAGAUUAAUACAAGAUGGCAUCAUGAGUCCGCAUGUUCACAUGAUUAAAGGUAUUCCGGUAGACGAUGGGGAUGCGUUCCAUUAGAUAGUAGGCGGGGUAACGACCCACCUAGUCUUCGAUGGAUAGGGGUUCUGAGAGGAAGGUCCCCCACAUUGGAACUGAGACACGGUCCAAACUCCUACGGGAGGCAGCAUG